GUAAAUAUCCGUAAUUUAGGGGAGGUUCUGUCAAAUUUUCGGCAGAAUCCUCGAGUCUAAUUUAAUUCUAGGCAGUCGACCUUAGGGUCUAAGUUUAGGAAAAAUUUUCGAAUGUCUAUUAAUUGUAUGUCUUUUGUUAUUAGAUAAUUCAGCCUUCCCGCCAGCUCCACCCGAGGCGUAGGAGCGGACUACGGAACGCGUUAGAUCUGUGAUAGUUAAAGACCUUCGCCAUCGCACAUUCGACAGUCCGACUUCUU